GAGGGGAACUCAGGGAACUGACACCUCUAAGUACCUGAAGGCCGCUAAAGACAUUCGAUUCCGUACGUAGCGGCGAGCGAACGCGGCUUAGCCCCCCCCAAUAAAGUUUUCUUUCUUGGGGUUGCGGCCCUAUCCUCACGGAGAGGUAUCGUCAUUGCAGCGGUUUGGCAAGACCCCCCCCCGACGGUCAUAGUCCUGUAUGUUAACCGAGA
rnacentral:rRNA from 1 species